CACGUAGGGCGCAAGCGUUGUCCGGAAUUAUUGGGCGUAAAGAGCUCGUAGGCGGUCUGUCGCGUCUGCUGUGAAGACUCAGGGCUUAACCCUGAGCUUGCAGUGGGUACGGGCAGACUAGAGUGCGGUAGGGGAGACUGGAAUUCCUGGUGUAGCGGUGAAAUGCGCAGAUAUCAGGAGGAACACCGGUGGCGAAGGCGGGUCUCUGGGCCGUAACUGACGCUGAGGAGCGAAAGCAUGGGGAGCGAACAGG
rnacentral:rRNA from 1 species